rnacentral:rRNA from 1 species
CUCCGGUUGAUCCCGCCGGACCCGACUGCUAUCAGAGUGAGAUUAAGCCAUGCGAGUUAACGUAGCAAUACGUGGCGCACGGCUCAGUAACACGUAGUCAACAUGCCCAGAGGACGUGGAUAACCUCGGGAAACUGAGUCUAAACCGCGAUAAGUGAGGAUUUCUGGAAUGGUUCCUGACUAAAAUCUAUAUGGCCUCUGGAUUGGACUGCGGCCGAUCAGGCUGUUGGUGAGGUAAUGGCCCACCAAACCUGUAACCGGUACGGGCUCUGAGAGGAGAAGCCCGGAGAUGGGUACUGAGACACGGACCCAGGCCCUAUGGGGCGCAGCAGGCGAGAAACCUUAGCAAUGUGUGAAAGCACGACUGGGUCAGUCCGAGUGAUUCCUGAUAAAGGAGUCUUUUGCUUGUCCUAAAAGCACAGGUGAAUAAGGGGUGGGCAAGUCUGGUGUCAGCCGCCGCGGUAAUACCAGCACCUCGAGUGGUCAGGACGUUUAUUGGGCCUAAAGCAUCCGUAGCCGGCUUUGCAAGUCUUCGGUUAAAUCCACCUGCUCAACAGAUGGGCUGCUGGAGAUACUACAAAGCUAGGGAGUGGGAGAGGCAGACGGUAUUCAGUGGGUAGGGGUAAAAUCCUCUGAUCCAUUGAGGACCACCAGUGGCGAAGGCGGUCUGCCAGAACACGUUCGACGGUGAGGGAUGAAAGCUGGGGGAGCAAACCGGAUUAGAUACCCGGGUAGUCCCAGCUGUAAACGAUGCAAACUCGGUGAUGCAUUGGCUUAUGGCCAAUGCAGUGCCGCAGGGAAGCCGUUAAGUUUGCCGCCUGGGAAGUACGGACGCAAGUCUGAAACUUAAAGGGAUUGGCGGGGGAGCA